GCCAGCAGCAUACCACCCUGCAUCUCACUGCUGGCUUGCUUCUGAAGCUAAGCAGGGUUGGUCCUGGUCGGGAGACCAGAUGCUGCUGGAA
rnacentral:rRNA from 1 species